GUGUUGCGGGAUUGCAGGCGCGUGAUACGCUGGAUUGACGGGACUGAAAAAAAAAGCGAUGAAAAAAAGAAUUGAUACCUACCUAAUUUGAACGAUAUAUAGCGAUACCCUUUAAUUACUAUUUUUGCUAAUUGUAAUUUUAAUAUUUUUUCUCAAAAACAAAACAACGUUAGUCAUUCAAACUGCAUAUUCAAAUACGAAGGUUAUGGCCUUACCCUGUGACAUCUGUUGUUCGUCUAUGCGGCAACAAACUGCACCCUCAUUAAUUAAGUAUUUUAUCAGACAGUUAAUGUGUCAACUAUGCAUUCGAAAUUGUUUUUCUUAAAAACCGUAAAAGUAGACGCCAGACUUGAUAGUGAUUUAUGUGAUCAUCUGGUCAGGGGAAAAGGAAUACAAACAUGAUCAUCGUUUGUGGUUGCUUUCUUUAGUCACUACGCAGCAUGCGAACCAUUCACACAUACCGACGCGACCCUCUCCGAGAGACCUAAACGAACACAUUUUCGUUGCAAAAAUAAAAUUACCGUUUGUUUUAUUA
rnacentral:lncRNA from 1 species